UCAUGUCCUCUGCUGUCUUCCUCAGGGUCCGAAAAUCCUCCACCAGCUGGGAAUUUUUAUCUCGGUCCUGGCUGGGCUCCCCUGGAGCAAGCUCUCCAAUAAGUAAUGGCUUGAGAAACUUCUGCACCAAGCUGGGAUUGAUGUGGAAGGCCUGGAAUGCAUCCGUGGCAUCCUCGCCGGCGCAGUGGCCGAUGACCCGCUGGCCGCCCGGGUGCCUGCUCGCCCACUGGGUGACAUUGUAAACCUUCCGCUCUAUCACCAGCCACCUGUCCGUCCUCAGGUUGUGCUUCUGGAUCUCCUCCCAGGUGUAGGAGCGGACCUGCGGCUUGCACUCCCCGGACUCCUCUCCUUUCUCGCCCCCCUUCCCCAUGGGGCCGGCCGCCGCUUUGUCCUCUCGAUACGCGAGGCCCGGGGCCGUGCGGGCGGGACGAGCUUCCCGUGCCCGAUUUAGCUCAGCUGAUCCCCGGCUCUCCCCCGCUUCCUCUGUUCAUGUCCUCCCUUCUCUUUGUCUCUCGCUGCCCGGCCCCGGCGCUCCACCAGCUCCGUCGCUGGCUCCGAAGUGCCCCCUAGGCUACGGUUUUCCUCACUGAUAUACUUUC
rnacentral:lncRNA from 1 species